rnacentral:tRNA from 1 species
CCGCCCAUAGCUCAAUCGGCAGAGCAGUUGCCUCUUAAGCAAAUGGUUGCAGGUUCGAGUCCUGCUGGGCGGA